AUACGGAGGAUGCAAGCGUUAUCCGGAUUUAUUGGGUUUAAAGGGUGCGUAGGCGGGACUGUAAGUCAGGGGUGAAAUACUGCAGCUUAACUGUAGCAUUGCCUUUGAAACUGCCGUUCUUGAGUACAGUUGAGGUAGGCGGAAUGUGGGGUGUAGCGGUGAAAUGCAUAGAUAUACCACAGAACGCCGAUUGCGAAGGCAGCUUACUAAGCUGUUACUGACGCUGAGGCACGAAAGCGUGGGGAUCAAACAGGAUUAGAUACCCUGGUAGUCCACGCUGUAAACGAUGAUUACUGGUUGUUAGCGAUAUAUAGCUAGUGACUGAGCGAAAGCAUUAAGUAAUCCACCUGGGGAGUACGUCGGCAACGAUGAAACUCAAAGGAAUUGACGGGG
rnacentral:rRNA from 1 species